rnacentral:rRNA from 1 species
CCUACGGGAGGCAGCAGUAGGGAAUUUUCGUCAAUGGGCGCAAGCCUGAACGAGCAAUGCCGCGUGAACGAGGAAGGUCUUCGGAUCGUAAAGUUCUGUUGAAGGGGAAGAAGAGCGGAGUGAGUAAAUGCUCUCGGAUUGAUAUUACCCUUCCAGGAAGCCACGGCUAACUACGUGCCAGCAGCCGCGGUAAUACGUAGGUGGCUAGCGUUAUCCGGAAUGAUUGGGGGUAAAGGGUGCGUAGGCGGCCUGUUAAGUCUGGGGUGAAAGGUACCGGCUCACCCGGGACGGGCUUUGGAAACUGGCGGGCUAGAGGGCAGGAGAGGGAGGUGGAACUCCAGGUGUAGCGGUGAAAUGCGUAGAUAUAUGGAAGAACACCAGUGGCGAAGGCGGCCGCCUGGCCUGUAACUGACGCUGAGGCGCGAAAGCGUGGGGAGCAAAUAGGAUUAGAUACCCCGGUAGUC